rnacentral:rRNA from 1 species
GACGAACGCUGGCGGCGUGCUUAACACAUGCAAGUCGAACGGAAAGGCCCUGCUUUUGUGGGGUGCUCGAGUGGCGAACGGGUGAGUAACACGUGAGUAACCUGCCCUUGACUUUGGGAUAACUUCAGGAGACUGGGGCUAAUACCGGAUAGGAGCUCCUGCUGCAUGGUGGGGGUUGGAAAGUUUCGGCGGUUGGGGAUGGACUCGCGGCUUAUCAGCUUGUUGGUGGGGUAGUGGCUUACCAAGGCUUUGACGGGUAGCCGGCCUGAGAGGGUGACCGGCCACAUUGGGACCGAGAUACGGCCCAGACUCCUACGGGAGGCAGCAGUGGGGAAUAUUGCACAAUGGGCGGAAGCCUGAUGCAGCAACGCCGCGUGCGGGAUGACGGCCUUCGGGUUGUAAACCGCUUUCGCCUGUGACGAAGCGUGAGUGACGGUAAUGGGUAAAGAAGCACCGGCUAACUACGUG